rnacentral:lncRNA from 1 species
UAUAAGACAAAUUUUUAAUAUAAUUAUAUACAUGCUUCUUAAUUAUCACACCAAAUGAGAAUACACUUAAGUACAUUUUUUUAUACCAUUUAAUCUCUUCCAUUAACAUUUUAGCUAUAUCACUGUAUUUUUAGAACAACACCAUUCUAGAAGUGUGAAUUUUCUUAGGUCUUAAGUGAACGCCCAGAGUGUUUAUCAUGAGAUCUCUAUUUGCCUGGUCAGUAGUCCAUUUCCCAUCAUGGUGAAACCUCCAGAUUAGAGUCAGUACCCAAGUGGCUCUUUUAUACUAGGCUUCUUGGAAUCUUUCCCUGAGCAUGCACAACUUAGUUUUUAUCCAAGAUUUAUUGCAAUUGACCCCAUGCAAAUUUCUAGGGAUCCUUCAUUGUCCAUCUUUUCCUGACCUACAAAUUCCAGUUGCCUCAGUAUCCCCAAACAUUGAGAUUGUGUCUGUUGUCCAGUGAGAACACUGAUUUCUGUUUUGGCUUCACUUUAAUGUGCUGCACUUUGGAAAAGUGCUUCCAGGCAGAAAACCAGGGUGGAUGUGGAGCUUACCUCAUGAGUUUCCCUUAUCUCAUGGAUCACAGCCUUCUGAUAUGUGUGGCCAAUGGCUGGAAAUAAUUGCCUCGUACA